AACGAACGCUGGCGGCAGGCCUAACACAUGCAAGUCGAACGCUCGUAGCAAUACGGGAGUGGCAGACGGGUGAGUAACACGUGGGAACCUUCCCUAUGGUUCGGAAUAGCUCAGGGAAACUUGGGGUAAUACCGGAUAAGCCCUUCGGGGGAAAGAUUUAUCGCCAUUGGAUGGGCCCGCGUCGGAUUAGUUAGUUGGUGGGGUAACGGCCUACCAAGGCGACGAUCCGUAGCUGGUCUGAGAGGAUGAUCAGCCACACUGGGACCGAGACACGGCCCAGACUCCUGCGGGAGGCAGCAGUGGGGAAUAUUGGACAAUGGGCGCAAGCCUGAUCCAGCCAUGCCGCGUGAGUGACGAAGGUCUUCGGAUUGUAAAGCUCUUUUGGCGGGGACGAUAAUGACGGUACCCGCAGAAUAAGCCCCGGCUAACUUCGUGCCAGCCGCCGCAGUAA
rnacentral:rRNA from 1 species